rnacentral:snoRNA from 1 species
AGUUAAUGAUGAUUAAUAAUCACACCAUCUUUCGACUGAGAAACCAUGAUGGUAACAAUUUAAUUCUGAUGGCAAAU